AUGAUCUCCCAGAGUCACUUUCUCUGGCUGCUGGUUCUCUGGGUUCAUGGUUCAAAUGGGCAGAUCGUGAUGACUCAGACUCCAGAAUCUCUAUCUGCGACCGUGGGAGAAACAGUAACUAUCAAAUGCCAAGCCAGUUCAAGCAUUGGUACCUACGCACACUGGUACCAACAGAAAUCUGGGCAAUCUCCAAAGCUUCUUAUCUACAGCGCUAGCAGCCGCCCAUCUGGGAUCCCAUCCCGGUUCAGCGGCAGCGGGUCUGGCACCGAUUUCACUCUCACCAUCAGUGGAGUUGAAGCCGAUGAUGCUGGAGAUUAUUACUGUCUCCAGGCCGGCCACAGCUUCCCUCGCACAGUGACUCCAGAAUCCCUGUCAGUGUCGCCUGGAGAGAGAGUCACCAUCAACUGCAAAGCCAGUACCAGCAUUAGCAACAACUUAGGCUGGUACCAACAGAAACCAGGACAAGCGCCUAAGCUCCUUAUCUAUGAUUCUACCUAUCGUGUCUCUGGGAUCCCAGCCCGGUUCAGCGGCAGUGGAUCUGGGACUGAUUUCACUCUCACAAUCAGCAGCGUUGAAGCUGAAGAUGCUGGAGAUUAUUACUGUCAGCAACGCCAGAGCUUCUAG